AGUCCCGCGUCGGUCGCCGCAGUCACGGAGCGCACAAGAACUCCACUGAACAUUCAUUGAAGGCCCAGAUUUAGAGUGAGCGGGGCAAACCAAGUUUUGUGCUGGGUGGAAGGAGGGGCGGCUGCUGUUCAGCCCACAGGAUUCCUGUGAGGACACCACAUGUUCAUAGUUGUUAAACCAUCUUGCAAACUCAUUGCCUGAUGUUCAGAUCUCCCGGCUCAGCUGGUGUCUGUGGAGUACAGGAUUUAUGUUUCAGAGAGGGCAUGAGCCCAGAUGAUGCCUCAAGACUCAGGUUCUAGGAGAGAAAGCAGUGCUUCAGGGACUUUGACUGCCCCCGCCCGAAAUGCAGUCGCCAUCUGCAGGUAAACAGAGCUGGAGCUGGUGCUGCCGGAAAAGAAAGAGGAGGGCUCUCCGGCAGCCUGCGGCUUCCUCAAGGACUUCCCAGGCCAGGCGCUGUGGCUCACGCCUGUAAUCCCAGCACUUUGGGAGGCCGAGGCGGGCAGAUCAUGAGGUCAGGAGAUCGAGACCAUCCUGGCUAACACAGUGAAACCCCAUCUCUACUAAAAAUACAAAAAUUAGCCAGGCGUAGUGGCGGGCGCCUGUAGUCCCAGCUACUCAGGAGGCUGAGGCAGGAGAAUGGCGUGAACCCAGGAGGCGGAGCUUGCAGUGAGCCGAGAUCGCGCCACUGCACUCCAGCCUGGGUGACAGAGCGAGACUCCGUCUCAAAAAAAAAAAAAAAAAAGAACUUCCCUGACAGCACCCAGGUUUCCCUGAUCCGCCCGCA